rnacentral:lncRNA from 1 species
AUAGCUGAUCGCUAACGUCUCUUUAAACCGCGACAACCUUGAUGAGAAUAAACCUUCCCGAAGCUCUCCAGCACAGUGGGGAGAGUUACUGAGCUGGGAAACCGAAAGGAAAGCAGGCAAGAUGCUCCCACUACAGGAGGAGAAAGCAAGGGGCCGGCUCUGGGAGGCGGUGGAAACCCAGAAAGAGGAUGGUGGUGAGACAGGGUAGGGUGGAUACGGACUGGGCGCCCUGGGAACUGCGGAAUGAUUUGGGGACUGAGAUACAUAUGAUGGAGGCCCGCGGGAGGCGCGGGAACCCGCCAGUCCCCGAGGCUUGGGGACUCACCUGCGUCUGCUCCUCCGUGAGGCCCGCCUCGGCUGCGAUGAGGCACAGCGUGGUGGGGUCCGGGUGCUUGUUGACCUUGUUGAAGUUGUACUCCAGGAUCUCCACCUGGUCCUCCGUGGGGCCGCUCGCGGUCUGCGCCGACAUGGUCCGUGCGCGUCUGCAGGGGAACCAGAUGCCCCGGGUGAGCAAGGUCCGCCUGCCCCCCUCCCGCCGUCCCACCGAGGCGCCCCGCGCCACUGGCUGCGGAGUUUGGGGGAGCCCUCCUUCCCCGGGACCGUCCCCAACCUGGCUAAAGAUGGAGAGGAGGAAGAAGACGCCUCCCGCCUGCCACUCGGAGGGGACAGUAGAGGAAGCGCCUCAAGUGCUGCCUCCGGAGAUCCGGAGCUGCCCUAGGGACUGAGGACACACGCGGGGCUGGGCUCCCGUCGCCGUGGGCACGCCUCCUGGGCUGCCACACUCCGCCUCCGCCGCGGGCUAGCACGUGGGGGGCCUUGCCAGGGAGCGCAGGGCACGCACACUUUGGGGAAAGAUGCUCACUGCACAAGUUGGGGAAAUGGAGACCGCACUUAAAAACAACAAUACCACCAAUGGAUAUUUACUCUUUUUUUUUUUUUUCCUGAUUACAAAUAGCACGUACUGCAGAAAAUCCGAAGGACAUUAAAAUCACAGAGGGAAAAAUUAAGUUGCCGCUUAGUCGCAAAUAACGGCUAUAAAAUUUUGGAUGAUACUUAAAGGAUCUUUCCAAUGUACUUGUACAGAGACGGAAAUGGAAACAGCGAUAAUGAUUUAUGAUUUACGGCCGGGUGGUGGUGUGGAGGAGGCUGAGCCAGGAGCAUGCGGAAGGCAGCUGAACCCCAAAUGUCAGGCCUCCAUCCCAAGAGCCUACCUACCUCACUGCAUUCUCCUGUGUGUGUGUGAUACCUUUCAAAAUCUACCCAAUUAAGCAGGAUCAAAACCAACUGUCAUUUAAAACCUCGGACUUCAGCCCAGAAAAAUAGGUCCACCUCCAGCUUCCAAUUCUCAUGUCUUCACUUUAAAGACAAAUGUUGUCGGCAUAUUGCGGCAACGACCUUCCUGCUGCGCCGCCACAGCGACUUAGCUUCAGACUUGGGGCUAAGAAAACUACCAGGUCUCUCAGGAAUGGUAAAGCCUAAUGCUGGAAAUUAGAACCUUUCCUCAAAUGCUGUGGCUGUAGCUUCAGUGAGAGAAGAUGCUGAUGGGUGAUCUGGUGAGCUGGGUGAGGGUUGCUCACCUUCAGGGUUCCUUCUGUCCGUCACACAUCAGUUGUGCUUUAAGUUUGCUGGCCAGCUAUUCUAGUCUACUAGGAAAGUAAUAAAGAAUGAAUUUCUGC